GCGGAGGGACUCACCGAAGACCUCCUCAUCGAGAUCCUGUCGCGCGUGCCGUACAGAUCGCUGUGCCGCUUCAAGCGCGUCUCCAAGCAGUGGCGCGGCAUCAUAUCCCACCCCGACAACCGCAAGGUGCUGCCGCAGUACCAUCUCCAAGAACUCACCGGCUUCCUCUACAAGCGCCAGCACCCCAUCACGGGCUGUUUCUUAGGUCGCAACUUCGCCCAUGUCUCGGCGGGAGACAGCCCUCGUAUCCGCCCUUCCCUCCCCUUCCUGCCUGACUGUCAUCAGUUCCACCUUCUGGACAGCUGCAACGGCCUGCUCCUCUGCCGCCGCUUCGAGACCCCUGAGUCGUGGGAAUUUGAUUACGUCAUGUGCAAUCCUGCCACGGAGAAGUGGGUCGUCUUGCCCGGCUUCUUCGGCAAUUGGCAGACAGCUCGCCUGGGUUUCGACCCGGCCGUCUCCUCGCACUUCCAUGUGUUUCACUUCCUGGAACACGAAAUAGAUGGGUAUCCUGACGAUGAUGAUUACGAAAGUGAUGGACACGUCAAAGGGGUUGAGAUCUACUCGUCGGAAACCAGGGCCUGGAGUCACAAGGACAGCGCUUGGGGCUUCCCAACUAGAAUAGCGCGUGAUUCUAAAAGUGCCUUUGUCAAUGGUUUUCUGCAUUUGAUCACCGCCGAGGAUGCGGUGGUGGCAGUGGAUGUGGAGGGAACUACUUGGAGGGUUAUUCCUAUGCCAGAUGAUCCGGAUGCCCCUGCAAUAGAUCCUGCUUACGGGUUCAUUGAUCUGUCUCAAGGGCGUUUGUAUUUAGCAAAUACUGAUCAACAUGAUAAGUAUAGACUAUCGAUCUGGGUUCUUGAGGACUAUGACAGUCAAGUGUGGGUCUUGAAGCACAGUGUCACGUAUAUGCAUCUAUUUGGAGUGAAGUAUGCCCAUCAUGGAAGCCAGUAUCAUAUUGUCGGCCUCCACCCGCAGCAAAAUAUGAUUUUCUUAGUUUAUGGGCAUGACAAAAAACUCAUGUCUUAUGGCAUCGAUUGUGGGAAAGUGCAGCUCAUCCAAGAUCUUGGACAUGAUUCCGUGCGACCCUACCUUCCUUAUGUUCCCUUGUAUUCAGAUGAAUUGGCAGAU
rnacentral:rRNA from 1 species